UCGGGAAUUUUGGGCAAUGGGCGCAAGCCUGACCCAGCAACGCCGCGUGAAGGAUGAAGUUUUUCGGAAUGUAAACUUCGUAAGAAUGGGAAGAAACAAAUGACGGUACCAUUUGUAAGCCCCGGCUAACUACGUGCCAGCAGCCGCGGUAAUACGUAGGGGGCAAGCGUUGUUCGGAUUUACUGGGCGUAAAGGGCGCGUAGGCGGCGUGACAAGUCACUUGUGAAAUCUCCGGGCUUAACUCGGAACGGCCAAGUGAUACUGUCGUGCUAGAGUGCAGAAGGGGCAAUCGGAAUUCUUGGUGUAGCGGUGAAAUGCGUAGAUAUCAAGAGGAACACCUGAGGUGAAGACGGGUUGCUGGGCUGACACUGACGCUGAGGCGCGAAAGCUAGGGGAGCAAACGG
rnacentral:rRNA from 1 species